rnacentral:rRNA from 1 species
UACAGAGGGUGCGAGCGUUGUCCGGAAUCACUGGGCGUAAAGGGCGCGUAGGUGGCGACCCAAGUCGAUGGUGAAAGCUCGUCGCUCAACGACGAGUCGGCCACCGAUACUGGGUUGCUCGAGCACUGUAGAGGCAGAUGGAAUUCCCGGUGUAGCGGUAAAAUGCGCAGAUAUCGGGAAGAACACCUAUGGCGAAGGCAGCUCUCUGGGACGGUACUGACGCUGAGACGCGAAAAGCGUGGGGGAGCGAACAGG